CCUACGGGAGGCAGCAGUGAGGAAUAUUGGUCAAUGGACGCAAGUCUGAACCAGCCAUGCCGCGUGCAGGAUGACGGUCCUAUGGAUUGUAAACUGCUUUUGUACGAGAAGAAACACUGCUACGUGUAGCAGCUUGACGGUAUCGUAAGAAUAAGGAUCGGCUAACUCCGUGCCAGCAGCCGCGGUAAUACGGAGGAUCCAAGCGUUAUCCGGAAUCAUUGGGUUUAAAGGGUCCGUAGGCGGUUUAGUAAGUCAGUGGUGAAAGCCCAUCGCUCAACGGUGGAACGGCCAUUGAUACUGCUAAACUUGAAUUAUUAGGAAGUAACUAGAAUAUGUAGUGUAGCGGUGAAAUGCUUAGAGAUUACAUGGAAUACCAAUUGCGAAGGCAGGUUACUACUAAUGGAUUGACGCUGAUGGACGAAAAGCGUGGGUAGCGAAGACGAGUAGUAGUACCUACCGUAGGUACGUACCGACCGGUAACCGUAAACGUAGUAGGUAACUUAACGUACGUACGUUGGGUUGGGCCGAACGUAACGUUACGUAGGGUCGUAACGUAACGGAAACGUAAAGGUAGUAAAGUUAAAGUACCUACCCCUACCGGGUAGGGGUAACGGUUACGGUUCCGAACGAAAAGAAGUAAAGAAACCGUAAAUAAAGUAAAGUUAAAGUUACGGAACCGGUUCGUAGGAACGUACGUUCGAACCGGAACGGACCGAACACCGGGGAGGGGUUAGGGUAGGGG
rnacentral:rRNA from 1 species